rnacentral:lncRNA from 1 species
UCUUCUUUCUCUUUUCUUUCUCUCUAUUUGAAGACACCAUUGAAGACAAGAUAGGGGGAGGUUUUGGGGAUCUAAAGGGACAAUUUCACCAUCAAAUCUUCAUCAAAACAUUGAGGUAUGUGAUCUAAUUCACCUUUGAGACUCUUUCCUCAAAGGGUUCCUUCAAAAUGGAUUUCAAAAGUUGGGUUUUCAAGCGAGUUUCACUCAAUUACAAAUUUGUUGUUAUGAACUGAGUUUUUUAUGUUUUCUUUAGGGUAUAAUGGAUAGAUUAACAUGUAUUUUAACUUGAUUAUGGUAAUUGGUGAUGGUUUGACCUAAAUUGAAGAGCAUGAUCCUUAACCUUUAACCCUACGUUUGAUCUUGGUGUAAAUUGGAUUGUGAUUGAUUCAAUUGUCUUGAUUAUGGGUUAAAUCGCUAUUAGAUGAUGUCGUUACAAUUAUCAUUAACAAAUUGGAGUAAGUUGUAGUCUUUCAUGCUAGUCUUGAGAAGAUGAUCUAGGUUAGAAGGUGAAUUGACCUAGGCAUUUUAUUUUAAGCUAUGAUCUAGUAUUGAAUUGCUUUAUAGUGUUUAUUCUAGUCUUGUUAUCAUGUUGAAUAUUGAAUUAUGAUGUUGUACAUUUAAAUUGGACUGAAUUGAGGUUUUAUGGUAAGGCCUAAAUGAUGAACUACGAGGAAGACUUGGUAAGUCUUAGAAUCUCUAUCUUAACUUCCAAUUGUGAUUAAUUGUGGUUAAGUCAUGAUGUUAUAUUAGAGUAUGCCUUGUAUUAGGAUUGAUUGGAUGGUGUGAUGUUAAAAUGAAAUGUCUUGAUUAUGUUGUGAGGUUGAUUAAGGUGUAUGUGAUAUAAGGAUGGAGAUGAUUAUCAAUACGCAUUGUUAUGCUAUGAAAUGCUAAUGUGUUAACCUCACUUAUAUAAAUUGUGAUGAAAGGACUUAUAAUCAUACUAUUCUUAUUGAGCUAUUAAUGAUGAUGAUUAUACAAGGGGUAGACCUUAUAACCUAAACUAAGCUAUGAUUGAUAAUUAAAAACUUAAAUACAUUUCAAAAAGGAACUUUAGUUUAGCAUCGAGUGAACUAGAUUGAGGAGUGUCCCUUCCCACAUAGGAAAGGUAGGAGCACUAAAGUACUCAUGAGAUUGGAGACUACAAUGCAUGGAGCAUAAAGAGGGUCCCAACUAUAUCUCCUACUUCUUGAACUAUGUUUCCCCCCAUAGGAAUACUAGCUAGUGGAUCCACGUAGUUGCAUGUUUUAUGUUUUGGUACUACCUUGGCAAAUAAACCGCCUUCUUUCGUUGUAGGGUUUUAUGACAUCGAAUUUCACACUAGCUCAUUUGGUCUAUAUCGGUUAGGGCAAGAUGUCCCCAAAAGGUAAAAUGAAUUAAAGAAUUGAACUCUAACUAGGAUAACCUAAGGGGUCUAACUUAGUCUAAGUAGGGGUAUGAGAUUCUACCUAAGCAUUGCACUAGUUAGCCUUGAGGGGAGUCUUAGGAGGAUGUUCUUAUAUAUGUUUAUGUUAUGAUGAUAUAUGAUAUGUAUAUGAUGAACUUGCAUAUUGUUGAUACGAUAUGUUGAUUAGUUCACUUAUGAGUAUGUGAAUGAUUAUAUUGUUAAAGUAAGAUGAAAUAUAUAUCUAAAUGUCAUAUUAUGCGGAGUUGGACAUUGGUUAUAGUUUCUUGUUGGGGUUACUUGAUUGAGUAAAGUUAUGGAGCUUUACUUGGUCAUAGCACUUGUUGGCUUGAUAAGGAUUCAUAGAUGUCUCGCUAAUUAUGAUAUGAUUAACUCUUAUUCAUUCUUGUGAUGUUAUUUCUUGAUGAUAGGUUUGUAGUAAAUCAUGGGUUCAAGUAUGUUGGGAUACACAUUACUUGCUUUGAGUUAGUAAGCAUGUUUGGUUAAUUGGUAUGACUUGUUUGAUUAUGCAUGAGACUUUUAAAAGGGUAAAAUGACAUGUUUUAACUAAAUGUCCCUUUAUCGCAUGUUUUGUUCUUAUAUGUGCAUAUGGUAUCAUACUUAGUACAUGUGGAGUACUAACCCCAUUUUCUUUCCCUUUCCCAAACAUUUUAGGUUCCGGUCGUUGAAGGCUCAUUUGAGACGACUUGAAGAAGACUCGGAUAUUCUCUAUCAUCCAAGUGGGUAGGUCCUCACUUUUCGAGGGCGAUGCCAAUAUCUUGCUUAUGAAGUUGCUUUAUUUUUCUCAGAUUUUUAUGUUUAUUCCACUUUCAUUUGAGUACGACUUGUAUAAGCCUAUAUGUGGCUUCUUUACAUUUGAUGUAGGACUAUGCGCAAAUUGCUACGAUCGUUUAGAUGGUAUGAGAUUAGACAAUCUUUGAGACUAUCUUUCUAUCUUAUAUAUAUAUAUGUAUUUGCAAUAAGAGUAGAAGGCUAUUUAACCUUUCUAUACGAAGGGUCUAUCUAUACUCGAUCCGACUAUAUUACGUGUAUGUAGAAAUCUAUGUAAACCUCCAAGUAAAUGUAAUGAAAGGUUUUAAUUUUUCCGCAAAUUUUAAUCUAUGAAUGUAAUGAAAUGAGACUAAGAGGCUAGUCUUAGUCCUUAAAGAGGACGGCGACGCCAGUUACAUCUUGGGGGUAAGCCGGAUGUGCCAAC